rnacentral:lncRNA from 1 species
AGAUGAAAGGUCACCUUCUUCGUGGAGGUCAGCCUUCCUCUAGGCUGACUUCACUGUUUUUCAACUGAUCUUGGACUGGCUGCUGUGAAUGCCUCAGUUACAGGUUUUUGUCAUCUAUCACAUGGGAAAGGGUGGAGAGCUCCUUCCAAGUUGGUAUAAAAUCCUUUUAUGGAUGGUUUCCUCUUGGGAUGGGGGGUUGUCCCUGCCUACCUGCCUUCCAACCAUCCUUCAUCAAAUACCUUUAGAAAUAAGUGAAGGCCCUGAAUUUCAGCUGGAACAUGUCUGCCCAGAAUGGAGCCUUCAUUUCAGCUUCCAUUGCAGACCUCAGCAUGGUCUUUCUAGGGGACUACUACCUCUUCAGGAGACAUUUACUGAGAGCUAUGGCUCAUAUUUAUCAGCAGGAAUCAGAACAAAAACAAACAAAAAUCAUGUGUGAGGAUGGAUCUUGAAGAUGCUCAUCUAGGAGGGACAGAGUAUAGAGCUGAGUAUGGGCAAGCUUUGUCUUUCAUUUUUUUCUUCUUCUUUCCAUCAAACUUUUUUUGCUAGAAGUGUUAUUUGGUUUUCCUAUUGGAAUCUAGGUAUUAGGUUUUGGAGUCAGGUGUUUAUGAUGAUUGGAAUUUGCAAGGAGUACUACACUUGGAUGAUAGGAAAGUGAAGAAAGGAGAUGACUUAUGUAUCAGAAGAGCUGAGAUAGAUAUAUUAAAGGAUUGGUAGUCCAAUGAAGCCAAACCACUGCUUGAAGUGAGAGGUUGAACAAGUGAGGUGGAACGAGAAGCAGUUGUGGGAAGAAAACAAGAUAUUUGAUUGAAUAUUUUUGAAGAUGAAGCAAUUAGGAAUUGUGACAAGGACUGGAUACCAAUCUGAAUAUCUGACUUGGAAGUGAAAGAGAAGGUUACAUGGAACCAGUAGGCCUGGAAAGUGAAAGGGCUGGGUUUGUUAGAACAGCAAAAUCCUUUCAGAAGAUUAUAGGAUUUAACAUGGAGAGAAAACUGGGCCAGACAACAAAGACCUUUAGUUCAUCUGAUGAUAGUAAGAAGAAGGAAUGAAGAGUGUAAUAAAAUUUCCUGAAUCUUAAAGAGCAGGUUUUCUAUUCCAGGAGUCUGGAAACAAAGGUACAUUCCUUUGAGUUCUGAAUCCACAGAAAUAUAGUGGAAGAGAAAAUAUUUUCUUCCUGUGUUCUUUUGGAUAGGAAUAUAUUUUUUUUUCUUCAUCUAGUCAGAUGAGUCUUAUUGUUUGUAGAAAUUACUUCAAAAUUUCAGCAAUAUCAUUUCUGUCAAUAUGAACACAUUUCAAAUGUAAAGUUGUGAGAAGCCAAUUCAUGGAGCUGCCAACCCACUGCCAUUUUAAAUGGAAGUUUAAAUAAAAUCAUUAUAUAUGUCAGUACAUUAUAUAUAUG